rnacentral:lncRNA from 1 species
UAAUCUUUUUGUUUUUCUCAGCAUUUUUCUGAUAAAGUGGUUCUCCAGAACAGGCUUGGAUUUGUUCUUCCAUAUCUGCCUCUUCCCUCCUGCAUUUUAGAAGGUUUGAAAACCACUGCCAGAGAAUACUUAGUAAUGAAAACUGUGAAUUAAAAGCUGACUGAUCUACCAGGCCUCUUUUCUCAGAGCUUCUCCAUGAUCCCUCUAUGUGAAAUGAUAAUUAAGAACUUGUUUUCAUUUGUGUGCAGAUUUUCAGUGUCUACAGAUCAGGUGUUUACAGAUUCUGCAUUCAGAACACUAAAAGGGACUGUUUACAGGGAGGUAUACAAACACUGGCUGUAAAUGAUAUGCCACAAAGCUGUGGUGAUAAUGCUGUUUUAAAAUGUGUACCAGUGGGGACACAGAGCUAAUUUCCAUAACUACUGCAGCAUCUUAUGCCUCUAAGAGGAACUAGUACUACAAAGUUACAGUUGUGGAAUACAAAGUGGAAACUGCUUAUUAAGUAGUCUGGAGACGAAAAAGAAAUAUUUUAUCUAAAUUAUAAAAAGGAAGCCUCUGGAAAGGCCAUUUUAAGGUAUGGUAUUUCCUUCUUAUUUUAAUAAUUUGAGUGGUGAAAAUGCUCAAUAACAAGCUGAAAACUCAACCUUUGCCCAGAAGUACUCUCUUUAAAAAUAACAAGAAUGUAAUCGUCUGUGCAGAAUUUCUCAGAUCCUAGUU